UGCACUUCCAGAAUUCUCUGUGGCGUGCUGCUGUAGAAGACAAAGGUAGAAAGAUGGCUCUGCUGAGAUGGGCUCUUAAUUAAUGCACUGAGAGCCUGUGAGUCCCACCUCUCAACAGGAAUGAUUGACGUCCAAGGAUACAUAAAUUACACUAAUUGAGCUCUGCCUCUAUAUAGGCUUUCCACAGCCAACUCAUCCGAGAAGCGAGGCUUGAACCACAUUGAUAUCUUUGCUUUGGUGACACGAGUGACACGCCACAAAACUUGUGGAAGGAUAUACUUUUUGG